AUCUUUUUGUCUCCUAAACAUGAGGAUUGGAUGUUCACAUCAGUGACAUUCCUCCCUCACACCUUGUUCUGAUGUCACACGUUACCCAUCUGACG
ensembl:snoRNA LOC120100483 small nucleolar RNA U13